GACAACCUGGGGGCAACUCUGGGGGAAAGUGGCGAAAGGGGCAGUAAUGCGUGGGUAACCUACCCCCGGGACGGGGAUAGCCAUCCUAACGGGUGGGUAAUACCCGGCGANGUAGCGAAGGCGCCUGUCUUUGCUAUGAAACGAUUUAUCGCCUGGGGAGGGGCUCACGUGAUAUUAGCUAGUUGGUAGGGUAACGGCCUACCAAGGCUUAGAUGUCUAGCGGGUGUGAGAGCACGACCCGCGCCACUGGCACUGAGACACUAGCCAGACUCCUACGGGAGGCUGCAGUCGAGGAUCUUCGGCAAUGGGCGCAAGCCUGACCGAGCGACGCCGCGUGCGCGAUGAAGGCCUUCGGGUUGUAAAGCGCUGUCGAGGGGGAGGAAGGCCGUCAAAUCGGCUUGACCUAUCCCUGGAGGAAGCACGGGCUAAGUUCCGUGCCA
rnacentral:rRNA from 1 species